CAGGGUUCGAUUCCGGAGAGGGAGCCUGAGAAACGGCUACCACAUCCAAGGAAGGCAGCAGGCGCGCAAAUUACCCAAUCCAAACACUGGGAGGUGGUGACGAGAAAUACCAGGUCGUUCCCACAAGGAUUCGAUACUGGAAUGAAUGUAAUAUAAAAAAUUCAAUGAGUAGCAACUGGAGGGCAAGUCUGGUGCCAGCAGCCGCGGUAAUUCCAGCUCCAGUAGUGUAUCCCAAAGUUGCUGCGGUUAAAACGCUCGUAGUUGGACAAUAGAGUAAUUCGGUGCAGGCGGGAGAGUAAUAUAAUAUAUUUUUGCUUUCUUUAAUGACUGUGAAACAUAUGUUGUAGAUAUCCUUUCGACCUUGCAGCUGGGUUGCUUAGAUUAUUUUGUGAGGACAUUUUAUGGCCUUAAUUGUGCUGUACUAUGUAUCUUGCAUAACGUGCCUUGAAUAAAUCAGAGUGCUCAAAGCAAGCUUACGCUUGAAUGUUUUAGCAUGGAACGAAUGUUUUGUGAAUGCAAUGCUAGGGCUCUCGGGUCUUAGUAUUGUAGCACCAACCACGAAGCAGAGCAUUGGUUGCUGUCUUCGGGUGAUGAUUAAGAGGGGCAUUUGGGGGCAUUAGUAUUUGGACGCGAGAGGCGAAAUUCUUGGACCGUCCAAGGACUAACAAGUGCGAAAGCAUUUGCCAAGUUUGUUCCCUUUAAUCAAGAACGAAAGUGAGAGGAUCGAAGACGAUCAGAUACCGUCCUAGUUCUCAACGUAAACUAUGCCAACCCGGAUCAGUUCGGAUUAUUAUAUAAGGAUCCAGGUUGGUCCGCCUGGGAAACCUUGAGUGUUUAGGUUCCGGGGGGGAGUAUGGUUGCAAGGCUGAAACUUAAAGGAAUUGACGGAAGGGCACCACCAGGAGUGGAGCCUGCGGCUUAAUUUGACUCAACACGGGAAAACUCACCUGGUCCGGACAUCGAUAGGAUUGACAGACUAAUAGAUCUUUCAUGAUACGGUGGGUGGUGGUGCAUGGCCGUUCUUAGUUCGUGGAGUGAUCUGUCAGGUUGAUUCCGGUAACGAACGAGACCACGAUCUCCAUUUAGGUGUUUAUAAGCCAGGUAACAGUGCGUGUGUUUAACUCGUUAGGCAUGCGUGCCUUUAUAUGCUUUAUGAUGUGUGCGCAGCAAUGUGCACUCCUAUGGAGAGACAGCCGGAUUCUAACCCGGAGGAAGCGUGGCAAUAACAGGUCUGUGAUGCCCUUCGAUGUUCAGGGCUGCACGCGCGCUACAAUGAUAACGACAACGAGUAUCUGGACUGAAAAGUUCUGGGGAAUCUUGUAAAUCGUUAUCGUGAUGGGGAUUGAGCAUUGUAAUUAUUGCUCAUGAAAGAGGAAUUCCUUGUAUCUGCAACUCAUUCAGGUUGCAAAGAAUCAGUCCCUGCCCUUUGUACACACCGCCCGUCGCUACUACCGAGUGAAUGGUGUCAUGAUGUCUUGGGACUGGACGUUGAUGGUGGCGCCAGCUACGGUUGACGCUAGGAGCAAGACAAA
rnacentral:rRNA from 1 species